UGGCGGACGGGUGAGUAAUGUCUGGGAAACUGCCCGAUGGAGGGGGAUAACUACUGGAAACGGUAGCUAAUACCGCAUAACGUCGCAAGACCAAAGAGGGGGACCUUCGGGCCUCUUGCCAUCGGAUGUGCCCAGAUGGGAUUAGCUAGUAGGUGGGGUAACGGCUCACCUAGGUGACGAUCCCUAGCUGGUCUGAGAGGAUGACCAGCCACACUGGAACUGAGACACGGUCCAGACUCCUACGGGAGGCAGCAUG
rnacentral:rRNA from 1 species